CGUUUUGUGUCGCCUUCAUUCACGCAUCCGCGGGGCAGAAGUGAAAACCUAGAUCGCCUGGGGCACCCUCCAAUCCGCCGCCUCCCUCUCUUCCCCAAUCACCGCACGAGCCCUCUCCUCGCCAAUCCCUAGCUCUCCUCCUCCCCCAAUCAGAGCACCGUCUCCGGCCCCUCCGGCGCCACCCCAUCUUUCCCCUCCGCCAUCCCCACCUCCUUGCCAAGCCCCUUGCACCAGAUCGACCGGGACCGCCCAAGAAACGACGACGGGAGGAAUGGCGCGUUGCCACCGCGGCUCCUCCGUCGCGUGCGUCGUCGUGCGUUGAGAAGGUGGGAGGGCGCCGCCUCGGGUCGACGCCGCCGUCGCGGCUCCUCCACACCAUGGCCGACGUAUGCUCGGCGGCGGCCUCCGACGAAACCCUAGCCGCCGUCUUCGCCCAGAUAGAGCCGGUGGAAGAGCGGCGAGCCGUUGCCGGGUGAGGGGAAGUGCUGCAGGAGCGCGUCCUGGAGGAGGCCGGCAACACAGCAGAUGCAACCACUGGUGGGGUAAAGCUACCAAACAUGGGAGCAAGGGUGAUGAGGGACUCCUCCAUGAGUGAAGCCCUUCUCUUCCUCUCAAUGCCCCUCAGAUCCCUCUUUCACUUUCUCUCUAUCCACAGAUCGGGCGACGCGUGAGACUGCAGGAGGGAAAGCAGGUGUGGCAUACAGAGGAGGCACGACCACGGCCACAAUCGGAAAGCUUAGGCAUGGAUUUGAGAAAAAGAAGAGUCACAGGAAUUUGGGUCCUCUAUCUUGCAUCUAGGGUUUCAGUGUACAGAAGAUUCUUACCAAUGGUGAUAAUAGGCAGCAUGUGAGUUAAUAUUUUCCAUGUCUGGUACAAGAAAUCAUAUCUUCCACACCGCUAUUUCCUUGUCUCUUGUACUCUGUUGU